rnacentral:misc_RNA from 1 species
UGGCCAUCUGCCACUCACGCCGUGCGACCCCCUCAGCUGCGGCAAAUGGAUUCUUUCUACAGCAAUCAGGUGCGUCGGGAAGAGGCGCGUGCGCUGCGUGCACAACUCAGUGCCUUCGUGGAUCAUCACGAGCAGCAGCUCUUCGACGCGCAGCAACGGCUGCGCCACCCGACCGAUGCCACGCACUGGAGUCGUCAGCACGAUGUCGUGACGGUGCAGCUGGCAGACACGCCGUACCACGCUUCAUUCAGCGCACAUCAUCAGCCGCGGCAGCGGCGAGCGUAUCAGCAGUCGUCCAUUGCAGACUUGCUCGGCAGCACGAUGGCAAGCACCGAUCCGCUUCUCUUCCGCCUUCUCGUCUCUCUUGCGAGCUCCAAUGCGGAGAUGCAGGCUCUGAGCGACGAGGCGCGUCGCUGCUACGCGCCUCCGCUGGCGCUUGUCGGUGAUGACAACGAGAACUGCUACAAGAGCCGGUCGACCGACAGGGUGAAGGGACUUGGCAGUGACGGCAGCAGCGGCGAUACCCGUCGUGGCGGGCACCCGGCGAUGAAUGCUGGCGGUGACAACGGUCCGUCGUCGCUGCAACACCCACAGCUGCGGCGGCAGCAAGAGCAGGAGGACAUUCUUGAGGAAGAGAAGCUGCUGCACUCCACGUGGACACUGCUGCCUCUGUUGCAGGACAUCUGGCUCUGGCGGCAACGCGUGCAGGACGUCGUGGCGCACGCGCUCUUCCAGCUGGCGAGCAUCUACCAUGACACUCGCUCCAAAGGAAGCAGAGGCGAUCCGCCCCCGCUCCUCCAUGUGCGACUGACAUCUUUCUGGGACAGCCUGAGCGACCUUCUUGGGGCGGUCCUCCUUGUUGAAGAGGUUCUUCACCAGAAUGCCAGUAUUAGAGACGGCGUAGAGGUGAUGCAGCGCCUUCUCGCGCAGCAGCAGCUGGAUGCCAAGCGAGAUGACGUUACUGGCGGCGACGAUGACGGAGAAAUGAUGCGCCUGCUGCUGCAGAAGCUGCAGGCAGACAUCUUGGAUAGUAGCCUACUCGCCUCCGUGGCCGCGCAGCGCUUCGACCAGCUCUUUGAAGCCUCACUGGCCGCAUGUGAGCAGAGUGAGUCGAGACCGACAGCUUCCGUGCCCAGCACGCAGCGCCAUGCCACAGCCGCGCGGACUGCAGCGACGCCGCACCCACCGCCUUUUCGGGAGCACACUUCCCUGUGCGAAGAGUUUAUCGCCGUCUUGACAGGGCGGUGCAACGACUUUGAGGCCACCCUCUCGUCACCUCGUGCGUUGGAGCACAAGUCGAGCCUUGCCGCUCUCUGCGGGCUAUGCUACUUGAUGAAGGGGCUGUUCCUGAGCUCCCUACCGGCACGCGGUGGCCCUGCCGCAGGCCCCACCUCAGUCGCGUCGACAACGGUAAGCAGGCUCGUCGCAGCGAUGCUAGGGCAUGUCAGCCAGCGGUUUGUUGCCUGGCAGUCUGUCGUCCCACUGCUGCAGCUGCAGGGCCUCUAUGUGCUGUGCCCACUGCUGUGGUGGCGGCGCGCCUUUCCUAGCGAGCUUUCCGCUGCUGCUGGCGCCAUGAAGGACGGUGCUGGCGCGCUGGUCCGCAGAACCGUUGUGGAGGCGUGCCAGACCUCCGGCUCGCAGUUCCUCUCCAACAUCUCGCAGUGGACACAGCAGGUGGAUCGCUGGGCCGCGGUCGAGAUGCAGUCCGCCCUGCCCAUCGACGCACCCCUGUGCCGUUCGUUUAUCCAGAGGAUGGUGCUGCUUAUUCAGCAAGGAGUGGCUCUGUCGCGCAGCGUUCAAGACGGCGUGGUGCAGCUCCUGUUGCUCCAUCACCACGCGGAGGCGCCGCUGACGGUGUCGAUGGUGCACGGUGUCCUGCAAGGCGUGCUGCUCUUGCAGCGCAUAGCGGACGCCUACCACAGCAAGAUGGGCAUCCUCGCCACUGCUCAGGCGGCGCUCGUGCAGUCGAUCGUGUAUGUCCUCGAAAAGCACCUCUACAACUUGUUCACCCGCACCUGCAGCACCAGACCAGGCACCGCAGCAGUGCCGACGGCGGUUGCGCAGGAACAGCUCCUUGCGCUACAAGGUGCCUUGCAACUUCUUCACAAACCUUUUACAGCGGACACCUUAGCGUGUCUUGUGCUGCUGCUGGACGUGGCGCUAAAUCGCGAAGAGCUGCAGCAAAGCAAGGCCUCACCUGCGAUCACAGAGCAGGAGCGCGACGACGCCUUCAUCGCACUGGCACAGCUGAAGGCGAUCCUCACCUACCAGCAGACGCUGCCGUGCAUCACGAGCGCCUCUUUCCUCUUCUUUCAUCGCGAAACCCUGUACCCACUCUUCCUCAAGUACUGCUAUGAGCACACCUUGGCGGCCGUCUCCCUGCCGCAGAUCGUGUCUGCCCUGGGCGACUGUCGCCUGCUCAUCAUGUCCGCCCGGCAUGUGAAGAACCCGUCGGAGACGCUGCUGAGCGACUACGUAGAGUUUGUGCGAGACUGUGUCC